GAGGUAUACACAUAGUUUUAGGGCAAUCAUUAUCAUUAUAACACUUAUGAAAGUGAUUAUAUUCUGUGAUGUAAAAUAAGAAGAAAAAAAAUUAAUGUUAAUAAUAGAGAAUGAAAUAUAUAAAGAAAAAUUGAAGAUAAAAAAAAAAAUCUUACCAGGGAGGCCUUCGAUUACAAUGGUAAACAUAAAAAGAAAAGCAAACAUGAUUUGAAAAAACCUGAGAGUUUUAGCCAUAAUUUGCUUUGUUUGUGUGUAAAAUUUGAAAAUUGUAUGAUCACUUUAUAGUGUGAAAACCCCAAAUUUUUUUUUAGUAAUAAAUACUCAAUUAUUGAAAUUAGAAUUGUC
rnacentral:lncRNA from 1 species